CUGCAGGUUAAACCUUAUUCACAAGCAUCAGUUCUGUCAGAGAUUAGCCAGAACCUGGUUCAUAUUGCAGCUGUUGAGCUUCCCUCAGCCGGUUAGCUCUAUGCUAACUCCAGCUAACACACCAGGAAAGCUCACCUGUGAGUCUCGAGGCCACGUUUGCUGUGACGUCACAUGCAGAACUUAAAGAUUAAAGUCCGAACUCCAUGUUCUGUUCAUCAAGUAACAGACCUGACGGACCCAACAGGAACAGAACCACAGCAGGCCGCCCCGGGAAACCGUUGCUGCUCUUCUUCUGCUGAGGGUUUCCAGGGAACUGUGUUGCCAGUUUGUCUUCAGUUAUGGAACGGCGGGGGUCGCAGCGGCGUCUUCUGCAGCGUCAGUAUCGUGUGUGAGAUGUUGCGACAACAGCGCUGUGUUGAUGUCUUUCAUGCCGUGAAGACGCUCAGAAACAACAAACCAAACAUGGUGGACCUACUGGUAAAAUGAAUCACAUGUAUUUCUUGUUUCCCUGCUACUUUAAAUAGAAUCAGUUCUGAGUUCAGCUGAACUUCGGACUUCCAACAUGUGCAUCUGUAUUAAAGUACUUUUAUGUACAUGAAUACCUAACCUGAAUAGAAAGGAGCGUAAGCCUAAUUGGUCUAUAUGUUUAUUCUCUACUCAACUAAUGAAAAGAUCACUUGCCCUUUUUAAGUCAGUCUCUAGUAACACAUUUACACAGCUACACGUGUACUCAUAAGUACAUUAGAGUAAACAUGCAGGUACAAAUACAGCUCUAUGUCUCUCAUAUUUAUACUGAGUAAUUACUUCCUACAAGAAUAAACUAAGUAAACAUUU